rnacentral:tRNA from 1 species
GUGGUGGUUCAGUGGCAGAAUUCUUGCCUUCCAUGCAGAAGACCUGGAUUCAAUUUCCUGCAAACACA